rnacentral:rRNA from 1 species
AUUGAACGCUAGCGGGAUGCUUUACACAUGCAAGUCGAACGGCAGCGCGGACUUCGGUCUGGCGUCGGGGGGCGAACGGGUGAGUAAUGUAUCGGAACGUGCCCAGUAGCGGGGGAUAACUACGCAAAAGCGUAGCUAAUACCGCAUAAGCGCAUCGGGGGAAAGCAGGGGAUCGUAAGACCUUGCGCCAUUGCAGCGGCCGAUAUCGGAUUAGCUAGUUGGUGAGGUAACGGCGCACCAAGGCGACGAUCCGUAGCUGGUUUGAGAGGACGACCAGCCACACUGGAACUGAGACACGGCCCAGACUCCUACGGGAGGCAGCAGUGGGGAAUUUUGGACAAUGGGGGCAAGCCUGAUCCAGCCAUCCCGCGUGUGUGAUGAAGGCCUUCGGGUUGUAAAGCACUUUUGGCAGGAAAGAAACGUAGCGGGCUAAUACCCCGUGGAACUGACGGUACCUGAAGAAUAAGCACCGGCUAACUACGUG